UGGGGAAUUUUGGACAAUGGGGGAAACCCUGAUCCAGCCAUCCCGCGUGUGCGAUGAAGGCCUUCGGGUUGUAAAGCACUUUUGGCAGGAAAGAAACGUCAUGGGUUAAUACCCCGUGAAACUGACGGUACCUGCAGAAUAAGCACCGGCUAACUACGUGCCAGCAGCCGCGGUAAUACGUAGGGUGCAAGCGUUAAUCGGAAUUACUGGGCGUAAAGCGUGCGCAGGCGGUUCGGAAAGAAAGAUGUGAAAUCCCAGAGCUCAACUUUGGAACUGCAUUUUUAACUACCUGGCUAGAGUGUGUCAGAGGGAGGUGGAAUUCCGCGUGUAGCCGUGACAUGCGUAGAUAUGCGGAGGAACACCGAUGGCGAAGGCAGCCUCCUGGGAUAACACUGACGCUCAUGCACGAAAGCGUGGGGAGCAAACAGG
rnacentral:rRNA from 1 species